CAGGGAGCUUGCAGCAUAGCAGCAGGAGAGAAUGAGUAAUUAAGAAAUAUCUACAGGUCGGUGAAUGCCAGAAAAGAGAAAAGCACACGGCUCAUAGUAGGCGGCCACGAGAUCAAGGCGGCUGUGCGUCUUCCAGCCCUCCCAGUCCUGCCUGCGUCCGGUGGCGGCUGUCCACGUCCGCUGCAAACCAUGAGGAUCUGUGGGGCAGAGAUUUGAAGCUAUCCCAGAAGCAGGAGACUCAUUGCGCCUGGAACUCUGGUUAGGCAAGAAGCUUUAGAUUGAUAGAAGUGCUUUGGUAACGGAUGUGAUAGUUGGACUGACAACAGCCAUUUUGCAACCAUGAAGCAACUGCUGUUCCUGGUGUCUCUGAAUGGGCUGUUCCUGGUGAAUCUCAGACCCAGGAUCCAUUUGCAGAGUGAUGUCAACCCAGGCUUUGUCCUUUGGGUGUGGAGGGGCCUGGGGAGCAAGAGUCUCACACAGGUAGAGUUAGACAGUGUUCUCCACUUUGGUACCACCUGCUAGAAUGCUGAGUGGUAAUUUGUUCCUCCAAAUAUCUGGUAGCUGCUUGCUUUUGAAACCUCAUUUGUACUCCAGACAUGUUUACUAUAUGAUUGAGGAAAUGAAGGAAUGAAUCUUCAACUGCUUUUUCAAUUAUCUGUAAAAAUCUCCCCAUAGAGCCCUCAGAAUCUUUUUAUACACACCAUGCCCAGGUUCCUCCUCAUUAUCCUCUUCCUUAAAUGGCAGAUAUUGGAAGAGAACAUUCUUCCUUGGGCUAUAACAUCGCACAGGUUAGUAUAGUGGCCAAUUAGGAACAGUAGUGGUAACCAAAAUAUAGCAGCUUGAUUAAUGGUCGCGCUGCCCUUAAGUUCCUAACUAUUGAGCCAUUGUGAACAGAUGGAAAUAGCUUUCUCUGAAACAACUCUAUUGCCCCUUGUAUAAGGAAAUCAGCUAGCCCUUCAAAGAUCACUGAGAGGUAUAAAAGCACAAAAAAUAGCAUAAAAUCAGAAAGGUGGAAAGAGAAGACAAAGCCAGAAUGGAGAGAGAUUGGACGGUUUCUCUAGUGGCACCUGACCGAUGGUGUCACCAGCUCCCUAAUGAGAAGAGAUUUGAGUGAAGACAAAUAAAACUGCAAAAGAUAUUACAUGCUAAAUAUACUAUACAAUUCAAUUUAA